CGUGUUCAAUCCUGUUGGUAUCGUUUGUGUUUGGCCGUGGUGUUGAACGAGAUUAAAAAAAAAAUCGCGAGUGAAUGUGAAAAAGUCACCUCCGGCGUCAAAUCCGCCGGGUUAUCGAUCCGGAACAGCUCUGGGAAGGCGGAAACUUUACAGAUUUUGGGACUUCUUUUACCAUUCGAUUCCGGGACCAAACUCAACAGAGGCUCUCGAAUCGAAAGCAGGUUCGGCCGACGUCGAGGCGUGGCCUCCAGGACAAAAGACAGCUGGCAAGGUGCUAAACGCGUUCCCAGUUGGUUGGACCGUUCUGCCGAGUGACGGAUCCGGAAUGUUGAUGGGAGUUCUAAUUUUUCUGCAACUUGGGAACUAUUUCGAUCGUGGAUUGCGUAUGGUCCACGUGCUGCCGGGGGUUCUAGUCCGGCCACAAUUUACAAGAAGGAGGAACACCACCGCACUCGGGUCAGCUGAUGACCAAGGGUACACACUCCCAGCUCAGUUUGAUAUUGGCCCGACGGCAGUCCGAUUUGUCGUGGUUGGAUACAGAAAGUGCGCGAAAAGGUGUAAUGGAGUCUCGUAGUUCCUGUGAAAGUUCUAUCCAGCAAGAGGUCGAAAUCGGCCGGAGUCUACGUCCGAGUACAAAUUUAACGACGACGUGCAGGGUGUCCGACGAA